GGUUAAGUGAAUAAGCGUAUAUGGUGGAUGCCUUGGCAGUCAAAGGCGAAGAAGGACGUGCUAAUCUGCGAUAAGCAUCGGAAAGUUGAUAAGAAACGAUAUUUAUCCGGUGAUUUCCGAAUAGGGAAACCAAAUACUUUAAAAAAAGUAUUAUUACUAAAUGAAAAAAUAGUUUAGUAAAGCUAACCAGGAGAACUGAAACAUCUUAGUAACCUGAGGAAAAGAAAUCAAAUUUGAGAUUCCCUUAGUAGUGGCGAGUGAAAAGGGAACAGCCCAGAGAAAUAAGAAGUACAAAAAUUAGAAGAAUAGACUUGGAAAAUCUAGCUAAAAAAGGUGAUAGCCCUGUAUUCGAAAAUUUUUGUAUUUCUUUCUCAAAAGAGUAGAACGAGACACGAGAAAUCUUGUUUGAAGAUAGGGGGACCAUCCUCUAAGGCUAAAUACUCUUGACUGACCGAUAGUGAACAAGUACCGUGAGGGAAAGGCGAAAAGAACCCCUGAUAGGGGAGUGAAAUAGAACCUGAAACCGUAUACGUACAAGCAGUAGGAGCGCUUUUUUUUUAGCGUGACUGCGUACCUUUUGUAUAAUGGGUCAGCGACUUAUAUUCUAUAGCGAGGUUAACUUUAUAAAAAAGGAAGCCGUAGGGAAACCGAGUCUUAAAAGGGCGAUGUAUGUUGUAUAAGUUGUAGGAUAUAGACCCGAAACCCGGUGAUCUAACUAUGAGCAGGUUGAAAAUUGGGUAAAUCCAAUCGGAGGACCGAACCGACUAAUGUUGAAAAAUUAGCGGAUGACUUGUGGUUAGGGGUGAAAGGCCAAUCAAACCGGGAGAUAGCUGGUUCUCCCCGAAAGCUAUUUAGGUAGCGCCUUAUAAAUUCAUCUUUGGGGGUAGAGCACUGUUUUGGUUAGGGGUUCAUACUGGACUACCAAUCCAAUGCAAACUUCGAAUACCAAAGAAUGCUAUUAUAGGAGACACACGUCGGGUGCUAACGUCCGUCGUGGAAAGGGAAACAACCCAGAUCACCAGCUAAGGUCCCUAAGUUAUAAUUAAGUGGGAAACGAUGUGAGAAGGCAAAAACAGCCAGGAUGUUGGCUUAGAAGCAGCCAUCAUUUAAAGAAAGCGUAAUAGCUCACUGGUUUAGUCAUCUUGCGCGAAAGAUAUAACGGGGCUAAAUUAUACACCGAAGCUGUGACAACAAUCUAUUUGUUGGGUAGGGGAGCGUUCUGUAUGCUGUAGAAGAUAUAUUGAAAAAUAUAUUGGAAGUAUCAGAAGUGCGAAUGCUGACAUAAGUAACGAUAAAGCAGGUGAAAAACCUGCUCGCCGAAAGAAUAAGGGUUCCUGUUCAACGUUAAUCGAAGCAGGGUAAGUCGAUCCUAAGAUGAGGCCGAAAGGCGUAGUUGAUGGAUAACAGGUUAAUAUUCCUGUACUAAGUAUAAAUGCGAUGGGGGGACGAAGAAAGCUAGAUUCUCUGGGUUUUGGACUACCCAGUUUAAGCGAGUAGAUGAAAAUAUAGGAAAAACCGUAUUUUACUACAUUGAGACGCAAAUACGAGUUACUUUAAAAAAGUAAUGAAGGAAUUAAUGCUAUGCUUACAAGAAAAUCCUCUAAGCACAAUUUAUAUUUAAUCGUACCCCAAACCGACACAGGUAUUUAAGUAGAGAAUACUAAGGCGUUUGAGAAAACUCAGGUGAAGGAACUAGGCAAAAUAGUGCCGUAACUUAGGGAUAAGGCACGCUGGAAGUAAGUAAGAAAAUAUACUUUUUAAGCUGAAACCAGUCGAAGAUAAGAGCUGGCUGCAACUGUUUAUUAAAAACACAGCACUGUGCAAACAUGAAAAUGGAAGUAUACAGUGUGAAGCCUGCCCGGUGCCGGAAGGUUAAUUGAUGAAGUUAUUCGAAAGAAAAAGCUUUUGAUAAAAGCCCCGGUAAACGGCGGCCGUAACUAUAACGGUCCUAAGGUAGCGAAAUUCCUUGUCGGGUAAGUUCCGACCUGCACGAAUGGCGUAAUGAUAGCCAGACUGUCUCCACCUGAGACUCAGUGAAAUUGAAUUUGCCGUGAAGAUGCGGUGUACCCGUGGCAAGACGGAAAGACCCCGUGAACCUUUACUAUAGCUUGAUAUUGAGUAUUGAAUUUUAAUGUGUAGGAUAGGUGGGAGACUGUGAUGUACGAACGCUAGUUCGUACGGAGUCAACCUUGAAAUACCACCCUUUAACAUUUGAUAUUCUAACUCUAAUCCGUUAUCCGGAUUGAAGACAGUGUCUGGUGGGUAGUUUGACUGGGGCGGUCUCCUCCUAAAGAGUAACGGAGGAGUACAAAGGUUAGCUAAUCGCGUUUGGAAAUCGCGAGUUUAGUGUAAAGGCAUAAGCUAGCUUAACUGCAAGAGCGACAGCUCGAGCAGAUGCGAAAGCAGGUCUUAGUGAUCCGGUGGUUCUGUAUGGAAGGGCCAUCGCUCAACGAAUAAAAGGUACUCCGGGGAUAACAGGCUAAUACCGCCCAAGAGUUCAUAUCGACGGCGGUGUUUGGCACCUCGAUGUCGGCUCAUCACAUCCUGGGGCUGAAGUAGGUCCCAAGGGUAUGGCUGUUCGCCAUUUAAAGUGGUACGCGAGCUGGGUUUAGAACGUCGUGAGACAGUUCGGUCCCUAUCUGCCAUGGGCGUUGGAAGAUUGAGAAGAGCUACUCCUAGUACGAGAGGACCGGAGUGGACGUACCUCUGGUGUUCGGGUUGUCAUGCCAAUGGCAUUGCCCGGUAGCUAUGUACGGAAAAGAUAACCGCUGAAAGCAUCUAAGCGGGAAACUUACUUCAAGAUAAGUCUUCCCAAAAACUUUAAGUUUUCUUAAGGAACGUUAAAGACUAUGACGUUGAUAGGUCGGAUGUGUAAGCACUGCGAAGUGUUCAGCUAACCGAUACUAAUGAUCCGUGAGGCUUAACCUC
rfam:Bacterium endosymbiont of Pedicinus badii strain PRTG Contig_95, whole genome shotgun sequence.